GCCCUUCGCAAAUUACCCACUCUCGGCACGGGGAGGUAGUGACGAAAAAUAACGAGGCGGUUCUCUACGAGGCCCGCCAUCGGAAUGGGUACAAUUUAAAUCCUUUAACGAGGAUCUAUUGGAGGGCAAGUCUGGUGCCAGCAGCCGCGGUAAUUCCAGCUCCAAUAGCGUAUAUUAAAGUUGUUGCGGUUAAAAAGCUCGUAGUUGGAUCUGCGGCCGAGGAGAGCGGUCCCCCGUUGGGUGGUUACUGCUUUUCCUGGCCUAAUUCUCCGGUUUUCCCUUGGUGCUCUUCAUUGAGUGUCAUUGGUGGCCGGAACGUUUACUUUGAAAAAAUUAGAGUGCUCAAAGCAGGCGUCUGCCUGAAUAGUGGUGCAUGGAAUAAUGAAAUAGGAUAUUGGUUCUGUUUUAUUGGUUCGGAGCUAAUAUAAUGAUUGAAGGGGACAGACNGGGGCAUUCNUAUUGCNCGNUAGAGGUGAAAUUCUUGGAUCGUCCCAAGACGGACUACUGNCAAANCAUUUGCCCAAGAAUGUUUUCAUCAAUCAANAACCAAAAGUCUNAGGUUCNAAAGCGANCANAUACCCCCCUUAUUUAAACCGUAAACCNAUGCCCACUUUGCGAUCCCUCNGGCGUUUAUUUAUUGAAAUUCNACGGGCCANUUUCUGGAAAACAAAAUUUUUUUGGGUUCCCNGGGGAAAUNUNGUUUCCAANGNUUNAACUNAAAA
rnacentral:rRNA from 1 species